rnacentral:rRNA from 1 species
UAUUGGACAAUGGGCGGAAGCCUGAUCCAGCAACGCCGCGUGAGGGAUGACGGCCUUCGGGUUGUAAACCUCUUUCACCACCGACGAAGCGCAAGUGACGGUAGGUGGGGAAGAAGCACCGGCCAACUACGUGCCAGCAGCCGCGGUAAUACGUAGGGUGCGAGCGUUGUCCGGAAUUAUUGGGCGUAAAGGGCUCGUAGGCGGUUUGUCGCGUCGGGAGUGAAAACCUCGGGCUUAACUCGGGGCUUGCUUUCGAUACGGGCAGACUGGAGGUAUGCAGGGGAGAACGGAAUUCCUGGUGUAGCGGUGAAAUGCGCAGAUAUCAGGAGGAACACCGGUGGCGAAGGCGGUUCUCUGGGCAUGACCUGACGCUGAGGAGCGAAAGUGUGGGGAGCGAAC